GAUGAACGCUGGCGGCGUGCCUAAUACAUGCAAGUCGAGCGAACAGACGAGGAGCUUGCUCCUCUGACGUUAGCGGCGGACGGGUGAGUAACACGUGGAUAACCUACCUAUAAGACUGGGAUAACUUCGGGAAACCGGAGCUAAUACCGGAUAAUAUAUUGAACCGCAUGGUUCAAUAGUGAAAGACGGUUUUGCUGUCACUUAUAGAUGGAUCCGCCCCGCAUUAGCUAGUUGGUAAGGUAAAGGCUUACCAAGGCAACGAUGCGUAGCCGACCUGAGAGGGUGAUCGGCCACACUGGAACUGAGACACGGUCCAGACUCCUACGGGAGGCAGCAGUAGGGAAUCUUCCGCAAUGGGCGAAAGCCUGACGGAGCAACGCCGCGUGAGUGAUGAAGGUCUUCGGAUCGUAAAACUCUGUUAUUAGGGAAGAACAAAUGUGUAAGUAACUAUGCACGUCUUGACGGUACCUAAUCAGAAAGCCACGGCUAACUACGUG
rnacentral:rRNA from 1 species